AAAAGCAAAAGGUUGAAACAAAAGUAAGCUAGAUGUGAAUUGGCUUUUACAAUAUUGAUAGAGAAUUGUUAGAAACAUUUACAAUGUUGGUUACCAGUGUAUUAAAGUUUGUAGUUUCUCUAUUCUGAUUUUCGUUUUUAGGUAUUCAAAAAAGUCUGAUUGUAAAAACUGUUUAUACAGUCAGGUAAGUUAGGAGAAGAAUCUUAAUCAAAUGUGAUAACAAUUUUCUGAAAAAGUAUGAAUCAGCUUAAGUUGACACGCUUUUUCAAAUAACAUGAAUCCUAAAAGAUAAAUGUGGUAACUUUAUUGACUGGAGCCAUUAAAGAAGCAGGUUUGUUGGUCUCAAGUAGAUUUUACUUUAUUUACUGUGAACUUACUGGUCACUUCAAAAUAAAUGCCUUAUAUUCAUAAAACUUGUCUGACUUCUUCCUAUCUUAUUUUGUUUAAAUUAACUGAAUCUACUUUGCAACAGUUGAUAAACUGAGGGAACGAGGGAAGAAUUCUCUCUACUUUUAGCAAUUAAUAUAUAAUUACUCUCACAUGUAGUUAAUUAUUAAUACUUGAGGGCAGGGAUCAUCCUCCACACCGCUCCCCCACCAGACUUUGGAUGUGGACUGGUAAAUAGGCUAUCAGUAAAUCAUUGUUAGUUGACUUUUCACUCUGUUUGGGGAAACUGAUAUAAAAUUUGUCUUUUUUGAAGCUAUGAGAAUUUAUUAGUUUCUGGUUAUGCUAUUGUGUAUUGUAAUCUUACUUUUAGGUAUACAACACAUUAGUAUUGGCCCUGACUCUGACUUUUUAACUCACCCAUUUGAAGGUUAGGCAUGCCAUUUUUUUCAUCUCUGGUAGUAGUGAGGUGAAAUCUA
rnacentral:lncRNA from 1 species